rnacentral:tRNA from 1 species
UCCCAGGUGGCUUAGUGGUAAAGAACCUGCCUGCCAAUGCAGGAGACCUGGGUUUGAUCCCUGGGUUGGGAA